rnacentral:rRNA from 1 species
GACAGAGGGGGCAAGCGUUGCUCGGAAUUAUUGGGCGGAAAGGGCGCGUAGGCGGGAUGGCAAGUCGGUCGUGAAAUCCCUCGGCUCAACCGAGGAACGUCGAUCGAUACUGCUGUUCUUGAGGAUUGCAGAGGAGACUGGAAUUCCCGGUGUAGCGGUGAAAUGUGUAGAGAUCGGGAGGAACACCGGUGGCGAAGGCGGGUCUCUGGGCAAUUCCUGACGCUGAGGCGCGAAAGCGUGGGGAGCAAACGGG